CCGGGAUACACAGAGAUGAGAAAAAAGAGAGAAGGAUUGACCACAAAUGUUAUCAGGGUUUGAUCUUGCAUGAAAUACCAGUCUCUCCAUCUGCUUCUACUUCUGCUAAAGCCGUGCAUCCCCACUGUUGAUGGAAAGGGAAAGACUGCAAGAAGAGGAGCCUGUUGUGGCACUUUCCCACCACAGUGUGUUAUGCCAACAGCUAAGAAAUGCCUGGUUGUGCAACAACGCCUGUGACAAGUGAUCGAUCUACUCCUGGAUCAGCUCCCUGGCCUCACCACGACCUGAUCUCCUCUCCUCACUGGUGAAGCCACUGGCCGGAUACCUAACCCUCCUCCACCACCAGGCUUCUCAUCAUGCUUAAUAUAAACACCUUCUAACCAUUUCCCUGUUUUGGUGUGUGCUUUUGGGUCCAACAAAAUUACAAACACAAAUCAUAACUCUGUAGGUGUAGACUUCAUUCAAAUUCUGUGGAGGAAGGCUAAUUGGUUCAUGUGGCUCACAUCUAGCAGUUGCAAUUUAAAAUGAAACCAAA